UACAGAGGGUGCAAGCGUUAAUCGGAAUUACUGGGCGUAAAGCGCACGCAGAUGGCUUUGUAAGUCGGAUGUGAAAUCCCCGGGCUCAACCUGGGAACUGCAUUCGAAACUGCAUGGCUCGAAUGUGGAAGAGGGAAGCGGAAUUCCAGGUGUAGCGGUGAAAUGCGUAGAUAUCUGGAGGAACAUCAGUGGCGAAAGCGGCUUCCUGGUCCAACAUUGACAUUCAGGUGCGAAAGCGUGGGGAGCAAACAGG
rnacentral:rRNA from 1 species